AUGCCUGCCUUUAAUCAGCGUUAGACCCGUGCUCAGACUGCACCGAGUCCUGCCUCUGCACCUGGAGAUCCUGCCUGCAGACCCCUGGAGAGAGCAGCCAGCAGCAGAAAGGUCAGGCUGCCAUUUCCCCUGACUCCAGAAGAUUCCAGCCUCAGUCCACAGGCAGAGACCCUGAAGAAUUGGACACUUGCAACAGGCAGACGCAGCCCCGGAGGGUGAUCAAUAAUUGAUAAGAAUUCUUCUUCUAAUAAGCAAAAGGAAAGAAGAGUUUUAAAGACACAGAGGAACAACCAGAGAAGGUGGAAUACUGUAUCAGGAGAAAGUAGAAGCCACAGUGAUGAAGAAAACAAAAGACUGAAGAGUCCCAACUCCUGUGGCCUGUCCCCAUAGCAGAGCUGCUGUUACCUGUGGGAAUGCAAAGUGAAGAAGGAUGUGGGAAUGGAGUGGAGAAGAAUAAUAGCUGAUGGUUCCCACCAGCUGCUGGCUAACUUAUCCCAGAAGGGGUAGAUAACAGACACCUCAUUAACAAGAAAAACAAGGUGUGGCUUAUGCUGAUGGAGUGGGUUGUCCUUGGCUAAUUAUGCUAAUGUGCAGGCAAGUGCCUUGUGGCCCUGAGGGUAUUUAUUGAGAACCAAAAUGAUCAAUAAAGGUCUCUGGCAUAAUUCACUUUGAAUCAUCUGGAGCCCACGUGGCAUUGCCUUGAUCACAUUGGUCU